rnacentral:rRNA from 1 species
GGGGAAUAUUGCGAAAUGGGGGAAAUUCUGAGGCAGAAAUACGGCGUGAGUGAAGAAGGUUUUCGGAUUGUAAAGAUAGGUUAUUGGGGAAGAAAAAAAGAAGGUACCCAAGAAGAAAGUCCCGGAUAACUACGUGCCAGCAGCCGCGGUAAUACGUAGGGGACAAGCGUUGUCCGGAUUUACUGGGCGUAAAGGGCACGCAGGCGGUUUUUUAAGUCAGAUGUGAAAGGUACCGGCUCAACCGGUGACAUGCAUUUGAAACUGAAAGACUUGAGUAUUGGAGAGGCAAGUGGAAUUCCUAGUGUAGCGGUGAAAUGCGUAGAUAUUAGGAGGAACACCGGUGGCGAAGGCGGCUUGCUGGACAAAUACUGACGCUGAGGUGCGAAAGCGUGGGGAGCAAACA